GGCCCACUUCCUGUUUCGUCACUCCUCCAACGUGUUUGUUCCCAAAAACAAAUCUAGCAACUACAAUCGUCGGUCGAGCGCUUUAAAAGACGCCGUUCAGUUAUUAUCCUGUGACUGCAGACAUGGGUCACAGGUGCAUUGACUGGUUUCGUAAGGGUCUGCGGCUGCACGACAACCCGGCGCUGAUGGCCGCUCUAACGGACUGCAAGGAACUCUGUUCAUCCUGGAUCCACAUCUCCACGACAAGACACGGGUGGGCAUCAACCGCUGGAGGCUCCUCCUGGGGUCACUCAGUGACUUGGAUUGCAAUAUAGAGUAGCAUCUGCUCCAUUUGCACACUGAUUGAGGAGUAUCUGCAACAUUUGCACAACCAACAUUGUCCCAGAUUAUCGCACUACUCGUCACUUUAAACUGCAUGCACGCCUUGAAGUCUCGGCGCCCUUUGCACAAUGGUCAUUGCACCGGACUAUUGCAAUAUUAGUCAUUCGAACUGCUCUAAGUGCUAGAGGACUCUGCAUCUUUUGCACAAUUGUACAAAAAUAAUAAUAAUAAUUUACCAGCAUUACCAGAUAACUAGCAACCCUUUACUGCUCAGUGACUUUUCUUUUUUUUGUCAAUGUCUUUAUGUCUCAAACGUGUUCUCUGUCAAUUGACUGUCUGCUGUCGUACUAGAGCGGCUCCAACUACCGGAGACAAAUUCCUCGUGUGUUUUUUGGACAUACUUGGCAAAUAAAGAUGAUUCUGAUUCUGA